rnacentral:misc_RNA from 1 species
AGUCCAUUAAGCCUAGUUGCUUAGCGUUGGGAGUAUUACCGUACGGUAACUCCUCAAAGUCAGUGGCAGGGUUACGGUACACUCUAAGCGUAGUAGAUUUCUUUCUCGCUUUUGCUGUGGCCGCGGCCGUUGCCAUAAACCUAUACUUUCUUAGUUGG